rnacentral:rRNA from 1 species
AUUGAACGCUGGCGGCAGGCCUAACACAUGCAAGUCGAACGAGUGGCGGACGGGUGAGUAAUGUAUGGGAAACUGCCUGAUGGCGGGGGAUAACUACUGGAAACGGAAGCUAAUACCGCAUACCAUCGGAUGUGCCCAGAUGGGAUUAGCUAGUAGGUGGCGUAAAGGCUCACCUAGGCGACGAUCCCUAGCUGGUCUGAGAGGAUGACCAGCCACACUGGAUCUUAGACACGUUCCAGACUCCUACGGGAGGCAGCAGUGGGGAAUAUUGCACAAUGGGCGCAAGCCGGAUGCAGCCAUGCCGCGUGUAUGAAGAAGGCCGUCGGGUUGUAAAGUACUUUCAGCGGGGAGGCGUUACCCUCAGAAUAAGCACCGGCUAACUCCGUGCCAGCCGCCGCGGUAAUUC